CUUAAAAGUGGUUUUUCAUUAAAGGGCAACUAUUAUACAACAUUUUCAGGAUUAUACUUGCAUUUUGUGUCUGUACUCAAACAUGUUUACAUGCUUUA